rnacentral:lncRNA from 1 species
CUGUACCUGCACUGAGCUGUCUGCUCACGGAGCCUGCUCCAUCUUCCCAACCCUGCCAGGCACUGUCCCCGCAUAAGGACACACGGGCCCAGGCUCAGUGACGGGUGAGCCCUGGAUCUCAUCAGGCUAAGGCUGUGGUCACGCGAUGAGGAUCCCUCCCUCUCUAUUGUCCAAAGCCCCAGACCUGUCUGAAGCAUUCCCAGGGGCUUGAGGUCACGGGGCUCUGGCCCUUGUCUGUGACUGACCAGUAGGCAUAAAUGCUGAGACCUCAACGGUCCUGUGAUGCUGUGACUCUCAAGGACAAGAUUACAUCUGCUGAAGACACCCUGGUUCCCUGAGAACUGAAUAGUCCUUAUCAGCAUAAGAUCCUCAGGGUCAUUGGAUUACUGUCACUCUCCCAGGCAUCUGAUACGUCCUCUGAUUAUAAGAUCCUUGCCAAUUUAGGAUUAUCAUCCCCCUUACGUCAUCUGUUACUCCCCAUUAACCCAAUAAAUAGUGGCAAGCUCAGAGCGCCUUGAUCAGGCC